CUCAGUGUAGCUCAGUGGUGGAGUGCUUGCCUAGCAUGCUGAGGCCCGGGGUUCCGUCCCCAGCACUGGGG
rnacentral:tRNA from 1 species